UUAAAAAGCUCGUAGUUGGAUUUCUUGGGUAGCAAGCGGGUCGGCACAAAGUGUCUGUACUAGCUUUGCUAUUCAAUCCUCGUAACAAGGUAUCGGUGAGUUAACUCCAUUCGGUGCUGAGUUGCGUCAUUUACUGUGAACAAAUUAGAGUGUUUAAAGCAGGCAAAUGCUGUGAAUACAUUAGCAUGGAAUAAUAAGAUAGGACCUAGAGUCUAUUUUGUUGGUUGCGAUUUUAGGUAAUGAUUAAUAGGGAUAGUUGGGGGUAUUCAUAUUCAAUUGUCAGAGGUGAAAUUCUUGGAUUUAUGGAAGAUGAACAACUGCGAAAGCAUUUACCAAGGAUGUUUUCAUUAAUCAAGAACGAAAGUUAGGGGAUCGAAGAUGAUUAGAUAUCAUCGUAGUCUUAACCAUAAACUAUGCCGACUAGGGAUUGGACGAAGUUAUUUAUACGACUUGUUCAGCACCUUAUGAGAAAUCAAAGUCUUUGGGGUUCCGGGGGG
rnacentral:rRNA from 1 species